rnacentral:misc_RNA from 1 species
AGAAAUAUCAGGUCAAUCAUUAAUGAGAAAUUCAUCAAUGUUUUCAAUCUUGUUACAUCAAAAUAAAACCAGCUGAUACAUCCAUAAACAACAAACAAGAAGCAAACAUUAAAUUUAUCAAAGAGCUCCCUUCGUACCAUAGUUUAAAUUUCUCAAAUGCAUGUUUCGCAGUCUGCAAAUCAACUUGACUAAAAGAGCUUAAAGAAGGAACUAGAACUCAAACUUACAAUGAGUACAUGCUAUUAUUAAUAAUUCACCAUCCUAAUAACAACUAAAGGUUAUGCACUUUAUGCAAUUAAAAUUUAUAAUGCAGGAUUCAUCUGCAUCAUUCAUUACAUAAAACAAGCCUCCAUCAAUAAUCCAAUUAUUGAGAAUAUGUUUUGGCUUAUAUGAAACCAGAGUAGUUUUUCAAUUGAUGACUUUCUCAACACUCUUCUUCAUCUGUGUCAA